GAUGAAGAACGUAGCGAAAUGCGAUAAGUAAUGUGAAUUGCAGAAUUCAGUGAAUCAUCGAAUCUUGGAACGCACAUUGCGCCCGCCAGUAUUCUGGCGGGCAUGCCUGUUCGAGCGUCAUUACAACCCUCAGGCCCCCGGGCCUGGCGUUGGGGAUCGGCGGAGCCCCCCGUGGGCACACGCCGUCCCCCAAAUACAGUGGCGGUCCCGCCGCAGCUUCCAUCGCGUAGUAGCUAACACCUCGCGACUGGAGAGCGGCGCGGCCACGCCGUAAAACACCCAACUCUUCUGAAGUUGACCUCGAAUCAGGUAGGAAUACCCGCUGAACUUAAGCAUAUCAAUAAGCGGAGGA
rnacentral:misc_RNA from 1 species